AUUGAACGCUGGCGGCAGGCUUAACACAUGCAAGUCGAGCGGAGUGAUGGUGCUUGCACUAUCACUUAGCGGCGGACGGGUGAGUAAUGCUUAGGAAUCUGCCUAUUAGUGGGGGACAACAUCUCGAAAGGGAUGCUAAUACCGCAUACGUCCUACGGGAGAAAGCAGGGGAUCACUUGUGACCUUGUGCUAAUAGAUGAGCCUAAGUCGGAUUAGCUAGUUGGUGGGGUAAAGGCCUACCAAGGCGACGAUCUGUAGCGGGUCUGAGAGGAUGAUCCGCCACACUGGGACUGAGACACGGCCCAGACUCCUACGGGAGGCAGCAGUGGGGAAUAUUGGACAAUGGGGGGAACCCUGAUCCAGCCAUGCCGCGUGUGUGAAGAAGGCCUUAUGGUUGUAAAGCACUUUAAGCGAGGAGGAGGCUCUUUUGGUUAAUACCCAAGAUGAGUGGACGUUACUCGCAGAAUAAGCACCGGCUAACUCUGUGCCAGCCGCCGCGGUAAGAC
rnacentral:rRNA from 1 species